GGUCUGCCUGCUGCUUUUCCAUUAUGUAUUCGUGGACAUCUGCCAUAAUCCUUUCCAAGGUUUCUGUGGGAGGCGUACCUGGGAAAAAGGCCAAUCUGCUUUGGAGUUCUCUUCCAAACUCCGUUUGUGUGCUGUCCAUAAGAGGUGCUGCAGCAGCUGCCCGGUCUCCCUCCAUGAGUUCAGCAAUAAGGGUAGCUUUGAUUUUAUUGCUGGCAAUAAUUCCCCUUGCUUCCAAUAGUUCUUUUAGCGUGGCCCGUUUCAAGUUGGUAUAGUCUGUCCCCAUUCACUAUCCGUUCGGGUAUAUUCACAUACCCUUUCCUUUCGGUUCCAUACGAAAUAGCAAAUUUCCCAAAUGGCUGUAACUGCCG
rnacentral:lncRNA from 1 species